UGUUACUGUAGAUAUCUUUCAAACAGAAUUUCUAAGUAUAGCAAAGCAUACCAGUGAAAGAGAUGGGAAGGACUAUGAGUAAAUGUUAAACUAAAAACUUCACUGUAUUAUUUCCUCUGCUUCUGCAGAUGGGGAAAAAGUUCACUGUAAAACAGAACAAUAAUACACCUUGACUGCAAAUUUCCUUUUGCUAAAAGUACAAAAGAUUAUUUGACAAGGAUCACUGAUACAAAGCAGAGGAAAAUGCACUUGAGUGGCUAGCGUUUAACCCAGAGAACCAUAUCUGUGUGUCUACUGACAGAUCUACACGUUUAUAGCCAUUGGAGUUUUCCUGUAACUGAGGUCAAACAACUGGUGAUUAAGGGACAUAUUUAUUAAGGUAGCCUGAAGACUUGCAUAACGGAAGAAUAAAAGAGCAGUCCUGAGUAUUACAGCUGUCGUGGUAUGCCUGUGCUUGAAUUAAGGUUCCAGCCACGUUUCUUUUUUAAAGUACCAUUUUCAAAGCCUGAGGUCUUUCAAAGACAAAUCAACUCUGUGAUCUAACUGAUUGCGCAGCCACAUAAACAUCAGAGUCAGCACAAGGAAGAGGACAUUUCAAGCAUGAUAUCACAUGCCAAGUUCAAUGAGCACUACAGAAGAAUAUGGGUGACCUUGAUUCCCUCCUAUUUUUGUGCUAACUGGAAUACUGCCAGCCAAAUUCUUUUAACAGCAUAUAUAAAUACUGCUGGCCUACAGUGCUGGUUGUAAUGAUCCUCAGCCUUCAGCUAUUCCCUCCAUUGCUUUUUUCUCUCGAUCUUGUAUUCCCUCCUCAUAUAUACCAUCACUGCAAGGUUGUCUGAUCCCAAGGAGGUCCUUCCUCUCUCCUUCCCUUGAUUGUGGUGCUGUUCUCAGUCUGAAAGCACUUGCUCUAAUGAACUGCCAGCACAGUUCUUCUAAAGAAGUAACUGAAGAUAAAUGCAAACUCUGAGCAAAUAUAAUUAAGUCUAAACCCAAAUUUAGGACUGGAUUAAGAGUCUGAGAAGGUAUAUAGUCUGCAAAAUGAAUGGUGUCCCACUGAUUCACAACACCAAACUAAUACUGUAGUCCUGGCUCUCUGUAGGCUAAAGGUGGAGUUAAGAACCGUUCACAAAACUGAGCUAGACUAGGGGUUGAAAAGGUAAGGCUGGUCAUUGCCACUGUUCCUCUUCUGGGACACUGCUGCCUCUCCUGUAUCCUGAAUCAGACAGGUAUCUAUCCUAACGAAAGAACAAACUCCGCCUAGUGACAGCAAGAACGAGGGAGAGCGUAGUUCUGUUUCUCAGCUUGAGGGUCUGCAGCAGUUUAGGUCUAUCCAAGUCAGUGCUCCUGCAUUUCUUCCCUUGACUGAACCCUCCCUUCCCUUGUACUGGCACUCCUGCAAUGAACAGAUUUACAGGAAAAAAUACUUGUAAUUAAGGGAGCGGGGAAAACCCUGGUUAUUUGUCAGCUGUCUAGGUCCUGGAGGAGUCAGUCAAGCCCAGAACUGAUAGAAGGGGAGAGGCAGUUGCAGAUGGAGGGAGGGGAAGC